AUGGCUGUCGUCAGCUCGUGCUGUGAAGUGUUGGGUUAAGUCCCGCAACGAGCGCAACCCUGCUGUCUGUUGCCACCACGAGAGGUGGGGACUCAGGCGGAACUGCCGGUGACAAACCGGAGGAAGGUGGGGACGACGUCAAGUCAUCAUGGCCCUUAUGUCCUGGGCUACACACGUGCUACAAUGGCCGGUACAGAGCGCAGCGAGGCCGCGAGGCGGAGCGAAUCGCUUAAAGCCGGUCCCAGUACGGAUUGGAGUCUGCAACCCGACUCCAUGAAGUUGGAAUCGCUAGUAAUCGCGCAUCAGCAUGGCGCGGUGAAUACGUUCCCGGGCCUU
rnacentral:rRNA from 1 species